UUUUUCCACAUCCAUUGGUGGAUUUGUUUACAUGCACAGUGCAGUUCUACUGUUCUGAGGGUCAUCAGCACAAUUUAAUUACAUUAAGAGACAGCUAAAUUGGACUAUGCAAACAGACAAGGCUUAAGGGAUUACUGGACCUCUGACAGAGAGAUCAAAUUUUUCCUUAGAGCGUGAAACAAUAUGCCUGGUUCCUGGCAGCCUCCAUGUGGACAGAGAUGGAGGAAUGGGGAGUGUCCUGCUGGUGGAUGAAGAGAACCAGACCUCCAGCAGCGAACAACAGGACGAACCAAAGGGAACAGGGCAGCCUCCUUCUCCGUCCACGCAGGGAGUCCACCAUCAUCUUCCACUUCAUCCACAGCAUGAUGCAGCGCAGUCAGACGCUAAUGUGAUAGGCUCUGAGGAAAAUGAAAAAUCAAAGAAAAUGGGAAAUGAGAUUAUUAUUUUCAGAGUUUUCCAUCUUUAUAUCAGUACUGCAGCACCAAAUGCAUACAGUAGAGUAAAUGGUAGUGCUUGACCAUGUGACAAAGUGAGUGAGAACUCUCAAUAUUGCAGUAUUGCUACUUAUGUUAUGGUACAUGAUUUGACUGCUAAAUAUCUGUGAACUCAUUCUAAUGGAGGCUUUGUCUGCAUCUAAUGAAAAUCACAAUCCAAAUCCAGUUCAGUGUCAGAUGAUAGUAUUUAAUGAUUUGAAGAAUGAUAAAAAAAAAGUGAUGGAAAAAUACUGAAGAUUGUUUUACUUGGUUGAGGAUUGUGUUCUUUGUUUUGCAGGACUAUAAAAGGCUAUGAGACUGUGCAGGUGGUUUUGAAGAGAGAGUUACAUCCCUAUGCCAGAUAUGACAGAAUUUAGAGAUGUCUUCCCAUGCCAGGACAAAGAGAAACUAUCCAGAACAGUGAGAACUUACACGUAGCUAAACAACAUGAUACAAGUGUGUAAUACUGUCAUCCUUUUUGUUCGGUAGUUCCUCUCCCAUAACCUGGUGUUGUGUGAGAUUUUCUGCACUGUCUGAAUAAAGAGACUCAUUUUA